ACUUAGUGCACAGAGUUGUAAUCACCGAAUGGAGAAAACCAAGUAAAUCUCACAACAGAGAGUUUAAACGCAUGUUAAUUGUUAUUAUUGGUGUUUACGACUCUUUGACAUGAAAACUGCAUGUCUUUUUAGUUUUUACCAGAGAGCCCAAAAACAGACACUGAGGACUCACCAGAUCAAAUCAAGACGGGUCAAGCCAAUUAAAAACAAAACGAAACAAAAACACUGCUUGAGCAUGAGCUGUGUGCCAGGCACAGCUGGAAAUUCCUGCCCCAGAGAGCUUGUUUGCCAGGAGUAUACAGGACAGAAACCCAGAAAAUACAAGGAAGUUAUGGCUGGCAUACGAUGGGUGCCCAACUACUGGAAGACAGUGAUUUUCAGAAACCUGUUCCUCAGGGACACUUCAAGUAGAGGUCAAGCAGACUGGAGAUCAGAGGUGCAAAUGCGCUCUGCAGAAAGGGGAAGUUGUAUGAAGCCCGCGAAGGCAGAGACCCAGCUAGAGACCCAGCCCGAAUGGAAGACAGCUGGAAACCAGAAUCCAAGCCCUUCCCAGCUACCUCCGUGGACUCGGCAGACGGGGACUUGGAUCUUUCCUGCCUAACGGAUACUUCCUGGGCUGCUGAGGGGUGCUGGCUGCGGGCCGAUGGCUUGUGGUUUCUCCUUGAGGUUUCCGUGGAGUCAAAACAACACAUGGACUUUGAUCUCUCUUCAGCAGUUGGCAGAAAGCUCAAUUCCAAGCCGAGGCCAAAUCAACUUUUGAGGACUAAUCCCUCAGCCUCCCCACUGUCAGGGACAGCCACUUCUGGAAGCUUCACAUCUAAUUCAGGCUGCAAAAAGCAGCCUUGAAUUGUUAUUUCUAUCACCCACUAAAUCCAUUCAAUUGCCUUCCCUUUUCUUAACUUUGAAAUAGCUUCAAUUACCCGGCAUACAAUAGUCACCUGGGUUUAAUUUUUUUUUUUCUUUUUUGAGGGGAACUCAUUUUAGCUAAGCAAUUACAAACAAUAGCUUGAUUAUAUUUCUAAAUGCUUUUGACACAAGCAACUGCUUCUUUUCCAAAGCAUGCACUGAGCUAUCGGAAUAUUGUAAUAUUUCCCUCCCCCAGCAGUUUUGCCUGGAUCUCACCCACUGAAGAAACCAACUGUAAAUAUUUGACAUUCCUUGUACUUCUGGUAGUCCGCACUGUUUAGCCUUCUGGGGCUCUCCAUUUCAGUUUUAAGCCUCAAGGGAAAAUGGAAAGAAAAGGCUGGGGUAUGUUUUAGGCCCUGAAACUUUGCUUCUUUAUAAAUAGUCACCCCUUGGGGCACCUGGGUGGCUCAGUCGGUUAAGCAUCAGGUCAUGAUCUCAUGGUUCGUGAGUUCGAGCCCUGCGUUGGGCUCUCCGUUGAUAGAACAAAGCCUGCUUCAGAUUUCCUCUCUCCCUGCUCCCCCUCCUGUUUGCACUCUCUCUCCUUCUCUCAAAAAUAAAUAAACAUUUAAAAAAUAAUAAAAAAUUGGGGCACCUGGGUCGCUCAGUCAGUUAAGCGACAGACUUCGGCGCAGGUCAUGAUCUCAUGGUUUGUGGGUUCGAGCCCCAUGUCAGGCUCUGUGCUGAC
rnacentral:lncRNA from 1 species